CAAACGGCCCUUUUCAGGGCCACUACGUAACUAUGCAACUGACCA
rfam:Trichuris muris Edinburgh genomic scaffold, scaffold1667